AAUGAAGUUUAUUGUAUUCGGGUUCUUUGAAUUUAGAUUUUUUCAAUUAACCAGAGAGCUAAAUGAAAUGCAUGCUUGGCUUUAGAGAAAUCACAGUAAGCACAAUGUCCAAUUUGAGCCAUAGAGACUAUUUUUUAGUACAUGAUGUCAACUCAGUGAGUUAUUUCUUGAGAAUUGUUAUGGUUCUUCAUCGAUGUCCCACCAAAAUUGCUGCCUUAA
rnacentral:misc_RNA from 1 species